rnacentral:rRNA from 1 species
CGAAUGGCUCAUUAAAUCAGUUAUCGUCUAUUUGAUAGUACCUUACUACUUGGAUAACCGUGGUAAUUCUAGAGCUAAUACAUGCUGAAAACCCCGACUUCGGAAGGGAUGUAUUUAUUAGAUUAAAAACCAAUGCCCUCCGGGGCUCACUGGUGAUUCAUAAUAACUGCUCGAAUCGCACGGCCUUGCGCCGGCGAUGGUUCAUUCAAAUCUCUGCCCUAUCAACUUUCGACGGCUGGGUCUUGGCCAGCCAUGGUGACAACGGGUAACGGAGGGUUAGGGCUCGACCCCGGAGAAGGAGCCUGAGAAACGGCUACUACAUCCAAGGAAGGCAGCAGGCGCGCAAAUUACCCAAUCCCGACUCGGGGAGGUAGUGACAAUAAAUACUGAUACAGGGCUCUUUUGGGUCUUGUAAUUGGAAUGAGUACAAUUUAAUUCCCUUAACGAGGAACAAUUGGAGGGCAAGUCUGGUGCCAGCAGCCGCGGUAAUUCCAGCUCCAAUAGCGUAUAUUAAAGUUGUUGCAGUUAAAAAGCUCGUAGUUGAACCUUGGGCCUGGCUGGCCGGUCCGCCUCACCGCGUGCACUGGUCCGGCCGGGCCUUUCCCUCUGGGGAGCCGCAUGCCCUUCGCUGGGCGUGUCGGGGAACCAGGACUUUUACUUUGAAAAAAUUAGAGUGUUCAAAGCAGGCUUAUGCUCGGAUACAUUAGCAUGGAAUAAUAGAAUAGGACGUGCGGUUCUAUUUUGUUGGUUUCUAGGACCGCCGUAAUGAUUAAUAGGGACAGUCGGGGGCAUCAGUAUUCAGUUGUCAGAGGUGAAAUUCUUGGAUCUACUGAAGACUAACUACUGCGAAAGCAUUUGCCAAGGAUGUUUUCAUUAAUCAGGAACGAAAGUUAGGGGAUCGAAGACGAUCAGAUACCGUCGUAGUCUUAACCAUAAACUAUGCCGACUAGGGAUCGGACGGUGUUAUUUUUUGACCCGUUCGGCACCUUACACGAAAGUACAAGUUUC